rnacentral:rRNA from 1 species
CCUACGGGAGGCAGCAGUGGGGAAUAUUGGACAAUGGGCGAAAGCCUGAUCCAGCAAUGCCGCGUGUGUGAAGAAGGCCUGCGGGUUGUAAAGCACUUUCAGGGGGGGAAAAAGAAGACAGUGUUAAUAGCACUGCGCUUUUGAUACUACCCCCAGAAGAAGCACCGGCUAACUCUGUGCCAGCAGCCGCGGUAAUACAGAGGGUGCAAGCGUUAAUCGGAAUAACUGGGCGUAAAGGGUGCGUAGGUGGCACGCUAAGUCAGAUGUGAAAUCCCCGGGCUUAACCUGGGAACUGCAUUUGAAACUGGCGAGCUAGAGUAGAGUAGAGGAGAGUGGAAUUUCAGGUGUAGCGGUGAAAUGCGUAGAUAUCUGAAGGAACACCAGUGGCGAAGGCGGCUCUCUGGACUCAUACUGACACUGAGGCACGACAGCGUGGGGANCAAACAGGAUUAGAUACCCUGGUAGUCCACGCCGUAAACGAUGAUAACUAGAUGUCAGGUCAUCGCGACGUUGUAGUCGCGAGACGACGAACGUAGUUAAGUUA